AGAAUCAUGAAACUAGAGCAUGAUUUACCAUAAACCGUUUGGGAACCAACUUGUUAGCUGCCUUAUAACUAUCAUCCUUCUGAUGAAAACACAGCAUAACAGCUGUUAGAGUUACGUCAAGACAUUCAUCUCAAGAUGCAAGUACUGAGCUUUAACGGAUUUCAAUUUACAGAAGCACAACAUCCAAUUCUGUUGUUGAGUAGAUAACCAACUACACGCCCAGCUAUGAAUGGUAUUUAGAAAAUCCCAUACGUUGCUAGAAUUCCCUAUCCCACCCCAAUAAACAACUCUUAAAGAACAAAAAUAAGGUGCAUUUUGUUUCGUUUACAAAAACUUGGUUUUAAAAAAUUUUACUUGGUUUGUUG